AUUGAACGCUGGCGGCAGGCCUAACACAUGCAAGUCGAACGAGUGGCGGACGGGUGAGUAAUGUCUGGGAAACUGCCUGAUGGAGGGGGAUAACUAAUGGAAACGGUAGCUAAUCCCGAAUACCAUAGGCUGGGCCCAGAUGGGAUUAGCUAGUAGGUGGGGUAACGGCUCACCUAGGCGACGAUCCCUAGCUGGUCUGAGAGGAUGACCAGCCACACUGGAACUGAGACACGGUCCAGACUCCUACGGUAGGCAGCAGUGGGGAAUAUUGCACAAUGGGCGCAAGCCUUAUGCAGCCAUGCCGCGUGUAUGAAGAAGGCCUUCGGGUUGUAAAGUACUUUCAGCGGGGAGGCGUUACCCGCAGAAGAAGCACCGGCUAACUCCGUGCCAGCCGCCGCGGUAAUAC
rnacentral:rRNA from 1 species